UUUUAACUAAAAUAGUUUGGCAGUGAGCGAUUCUUAUUAGGGGAAGGUGUGUUGUAAAGGAUGAUCCGCCUAUUAAUUUACUUUUAUUAUGUUGGUGUAUAUCUGGUUUAAUAUUAUUGUUUAAUAACUAAAUUUGUGUAUAUUUAUUUAAGCCAAGUCUAUGUGCUGCUUGUAAAAGAUUUCAUGCGUUACAUUUAUAUUUAUAAAUUAUGAGAAUUUAAUUUUUAAUUAGGACUUAAAAGUAAUAUAGAAUGAUUUUGUCUAU
rnacentral:rRNA from 1 species